UCUUAUGGAUGAGCAAAUAAAGUGGUUUCUUAAGAUGGAAUCUACUCCUUGUAAAAAUGCUGUGAA
rnacentral:pre_miRNA from 1 species